GCAUUCUUUUUUUGAUGAGAGGCAUCUCUAGGUACCAUCCCUGACCUGGUCCUCAUGCUGCCGAGGCUGUUGCUAUUGAUCUGUGCUCCACUCUGUGAACCUGCCGGUGAGUUGCACUUCCUUUUCUUCUUCAAGAUCUGUGGGUAUUUUAUUACUUUGGUCAGCACAGGAGGCCUGCGGAUUGCUUAGCAGCCCCUUCCUGCCCAAAACAUAUCAGGGUGACACCUGCUGAGGUGUACAAACAUCAGUGGCUCCCUUGGGCCUGGGCUGCUCUGUCUUCACAUUAGUCUCUGCACCUGACACGUGUCUGCUCAGUGGGGUGAAGAGGUCUUGCUCUGACCUUCUCAAGAACACAGUCUUAUUUCCGGGAAGUCCCAGCACAGGGAGGGAGACACUGUUUGCCCAAGGAAGGAAAAGGGUGCUGAAGAUUCAUGCUAGAAGCAUCUCUGUCCUCCCAGCCUCAGGAGCUCCAAUUCCAGUUGUGCUUCUCGGCUGGGUUUGUCACCAUGGGUGAUGAAGGAAAUGCCAAAAUCACACAUCCACGGAGAACAUUAG
rnacentral:sRNA from 1 species